rnacentral:tRNA from 1 species
CGGAGAGGUGUCCGAGUGGCUUAAGGAGCAGCCUUGGAAAGGCUGUGUAGGGCUUGUCCCUACCGCGGGUUCGAAUCCCGCCCUCUCCGU